ensembl:snoRNA SNORD89 small nucleolar RNA SNORD89
ACUGAGGGGUGAUGACAAUAAAAGGCCGAAUUGCAGUGCCUCCAUAAGCAGUUUGCUCUCUGUGGCUGCACAAUGACAAAGUCUCCUGAAGCGAACCACUGGUGUCUGACCUCAGU